UACGAAGGGGGCUAGCGUUGCUCGGAAUCACUGGGCGUAAAGCGCGUGUAGGCGGCCCUGCAAGUCGGAUGUGAAAUCCCACGGCUCAACCGUGGAAGUGCAUUCGAAACUGCAGGGCUAGAGUCCUGGAGAGGAAGGUGGAAUGCUUGGUGUAGAGGUGAAAUUCGUAGAUAUCAAGCGGAACACCGGUGGCGAAGGCGGCCUUCUGGACAGUGACUGACGCUGAGACGCGAAAGCGUGGGGAGCAAACAGG
rnacentral:rRNA from 1 species